rnacentral:misc_RNA from 1 species
CUGCUGCCUCCGCAGCCUGGACUGGUGCUCGUCCUCACAGCCCCCGCCGCUGCCGCCGACGACAGCUUUGUCCCUGGACCGCCUCUUCUCCUUCCUGCUCCCACGACCGAGAGAUGGCCUUCCCCAAAUCCAAUCACAAAGACAAAGAGCCAGGACCCGAAUCGUUCGUACCUGCUAGAGGCGGGCCUGGGAGAUCUCCUCGCGCUCGCGGCUGGCGCUCUGCCGGAACUGGAGCUCGGCGAUGAGAUGCUCGCGCUCGACGGAGAGCUCCUCGACCUGCGCGUACGCCUAUGCAAGGACGAGGAGCUCAGCAGAGUGGACCGCGCCCUUCCAUGGAACGCCGAGGUCGGGGUCGGUCUGGACUGCGCCAUCCCAUGGAUAUCCGAGGUGGGGGAGGCUGUCAUGGCGGAGGUGGCGGGGCAUAGGGUGAGCGAAGGACAAGGGAAGGGCACGCACGGAGGAGGGGGCGCGCACGUAAGGAAGGAAGGCAAUGGCACGGAUGGCGGCCUCGGUGCGUGGGGAAUGAAGGUUAUGGCGCUGGUGGCGGCCUCGGCGCGUGGGUAA